rnacentral:rRNA from 1 species
UACGAAGGGGGCUAGCGUUGCUCGGAAUUACUGGGCGUAAAGCGCACGUAGGCGGACUUUUAAGUAGGGGGUGAAAUCCUGGAGCUCAACUCUAGAACUGCCUGCGAAACUGAAAGCCUUGAGCUCGCGAGAGGUGAGCGGAACUGCGAGUGUAGAGGUGAAAUUCGUAGAUAUUCGGAAGAACACCAGUGGCGAAGGCGGCCAACUGGCGCAAUUCUGACGCUGAGGUGCGAAAGCGUGGGGAGCAAUCAGG